rnacentral:rRNA from 1 species
CCUACGGGAGGCAGCAGUGGGGAAUAUUGGACAAUGGGGGGAACCCUGAUCCAGCGACGCCGCGUGAGUGAAGAAGUAUUUCGGUAUGUAAAGCUCUAUCAGCAGGGAAGAAAGAAAUGACGGUACCUGACUAAGAAGCCCCGGCUAACUACGUGCCAGCAGCCGCGGUAAUACGGAGGGGGCAAGCGUUAUCCGGAUUUACUGGGUGUAAAGGGAGCGUAGACGGCGAUGCAAGUCUGAAGUGAAAGGCGGGGGCCCAACCUCCGGACUGCUUUGGAAACUGUAUGGCUGGAGUGCAGGAGAGGUAAGUGGAAUUCCUAGUGUAGCGGUGAAAUGCGUAGAUAUUAGGAGGAACACCAGUGGCGAAGGCGGCUUACUGGACUGUAACUGACGUUGAGGCUCGAAAGCGUGGGGAGCAAACAGGAUUAGAUACCCUUGUAGUC